CUGCCAUGGUAGCUGCAUCAUAGAGACACACAGUGACACAACCACAAAACAGGAAGUGUGAUGUUCCAAACUGCCCCAGGUGAGAUGCUAAAAGUAUUGGGUGAGUAUACGCCAUGGGAGAGGAAUCUGCACCGGGACCUCUAAACACUCAGGGUUUCAAGUUCUGGGAUCACCUUUGGAAGUAAAGUGUUUGGGUUUGUAAGGGCCAAAACAUUUUAAACUACUGGAGAGCUGUCCUAGUUACUAAAGUGAUGAUCUUGCAAGCCCAAGGGAUCCUCCAUGGAUUUCUCUGCUGUAUUUGUGCACAUGCAUAAAACUAGAGCAGUGACAUUGGCUCCUGGCAGCUGAAGUGCCAGGAACCAAAGAGGACCCACCAAAAAUGAAUGAUGGCGGUAUUGGCGAGGGACAGCUUUAGGUAAGUAGAAAUCACCUUUGCCUGCCCUCAUUGAACCCACAGCAGCAAUGUCCCCAUCAGGUCUUUGCACAUUAUGCAAAGUCCCUAUACUGUGACUUGCUGCUUUAAGACUACUCCGCAACCCAUAAAGCAUUUCAGCUUACUUGACGCGCUUUAUGGAAAUCCAACUCCCCGCUGGCUUUCAAACAAAGGAGGCUUGUUUCUGUAGGCUCCCCUGAGCUAACAGAAGUAGAUGAUGCACUCUACUUGAGUGUGGAUGCUUCCCUCGCAUACCACCUCAGACCAGUGUUCUACUUGCUGAGAAGCCUGAUUGGCCACAUCCAUGUGAAGAUACUAUGUCUCAUCUGGGGAAAAGGGAAGGCUUGCAAAGGUGGCCAUUCAUAAGAAGCCCUCUAGAGGUUCCACCAAUUAAUAACUGUAUGAAAUACAUGUAUUCAUUGGAGGUACAUCUACUAAAGCUUUGUUUUAGCUUGUUUGGUUCUUGCAUUAAGCAUGGAGUGGGCUUUUAAAAAGUUUUUAUUCACAAAGUAACCUCUUGUAAACUUUAAAGGGCUGUCGGAGUCAUUACUGUAGUGGUCAUGGUGCCAGCAUGGCUUUGUUGCCCUCUGCCAAAUCUCCAGCUAAUCUGACUUUUGACUUGGCCAGUGACUAUUGUAUUUAUAUUG